AUGUUGGUUAUGUCCAACAUAUGCCAUCAAAAUCUUUCACUUGGCAACACCAGCCUAACAUAUGCAAUCUAUUUCCUGCUGCUUGCUGGGGAGAUCACUCGGCUGCACUGCAUCCCCGGAUGUUGCCCAUCUUAUCCAAUAUACUACCCAUUUCACAUAUUUGAGGAGCAUGAUGAUGGGCAAGUCAAGAUGACAGUAGUCGGUCCUGAUUUACGGAAAGGGCAGAGAUCGCAGUACACGGUCGCUCAGAAUGUGUGGUUUGGCGCCUUCCUUACCCACGACACCGAGUCCUUCACUGAUGACUAUAAGAGUUUCAGUAUGGGAGUUGAUAUACAUGUAAUCAAGUAUGGAAGUUCAGUAAGGCAAAAGAGGUUUGAAUUUGAUAGACAAAGGCAUAGAAGGCAGCAGGAAUUAUUGAUGGAUAACUCAAAUUGCAACAUCCACUCGAUCGUGCUUAGCUCCAAGACUCAUCCUCCUGCCAUGUUGGCUCAGUCGUUUUUUAUGCGCUUCAGUUCUUUGUCCAUCAUUAGACCAACAUGCUGCAGUUGGGCUGCACACCAAAUUAUCAUGCCGGCUUCGAUGAAGCAGCACUUGUAUGGCUUCUGGUUCAAUAAGUAUGGGAAGAAGAGGCAUAAGAGAGGAGGGUUGCAAGACAAAAUGUAUUGCCUAUUAUGGCCUCGUGUGCCACUGACACUCCUCCUCAAAUACUUGCAGACCUGCGGAUGUGCAAACCCCCGUAUUACUAAACCCUGGUUUCUUGCUAGAGCAAAUACAAGCAGACUUGCUGUUUAA
rnacentral:rRNA from 1 species